UACAGAGGGUGCGAGCGUUGUCCGGAAUCACUGGGCGUAAAGGGCGCGUAGGUGGCGACCCAAGUCGAUGGUGAAAGCUCGCCGCUCAACGGCGAGUCGGCCACCGAUACUGGGUUGCUGGAGCACUGUAGAGGCAGAUGGAAUUCCGGGUGUAGCGGUGGAAUGCGUAGAGAUCCGGGAAGAACACCGGUGGCGAAGGCGGUCUGCUGGACAGUUGCUGGACACUGAGGCGCGACAGCGUGGGGAGCAAACAGG
rnacentral:rRNA from 1 species